rnacentral:rRNA from 1 species
UACGAAGGGGGCUAGCGUUGCUCGGAAUCACUGGGCGUAAAGGGUGCGUAGGCGGGUCUUUAAGUCAGGGGUGAAAUCCUGGAGCUCAACUCCAGAACUGCCUUUGAUACUGAAGAUCUUGAGUUCGGGAGAGGUGAGUGGAACUGCGAGUGUAGAGGUGAAAUUCGUAGAUAUUCGCAAGAACACCAGUGGCGAAGGCGGCUCACUGGCCCGAUACUGACGCUGAGGCACGAAAGCGUGGGGGAGCAAACAGGA